AUGUCAAGGAUCAGCCAUCAUUGCUCAAGGAGGUCCUGGGGGGGCUGCAGGACCACCACCACCAACAGAAGCACCACCAGCACCCCUGACCUGAACACACAGAUUGGCUACAGCCCAGGAGGACACUCGGUCCUUGGAAACACCUCUGUCCCAGGACACAAACCAUCCUGGGACAAAACUCCCUCUGUCCCGGGACUGAAUGCCCCUCCAACCCAGCGCACACCACGUCUGCUCCCGAUGUCCACCUGGAGCAUCCCCCAGCAGGGCUCCAGAGCCUCUUUGAGGUCAGAAAUGCAGUUUUCCCACACUUUUGCACCUGACAAAGAUUCCCCACGUGGCUCCAAGCUUUUUCUCAAGCUGGGCCUGGCUGGGAAGGACCCAGCCCUGCACUGGGAGAAGCAGGGACGCUGCCCACCACAGGGAUCCCAGGCAGAAGCUCCAGCAUUCCCUCCCUGGCUUCCCCGGCUCAUCCCCGGGAGGCGAAGGGUUAACAGUGCCCCAGGAGGAGCCGUGGGUGGUGGCCAGGGUUCCCCAGCUGUCACUUCGAGGUCACCAGGGACGGUGAUUCACCUCGAUGCGUGUCGAGAUGCAUCAGAGCAGCUCAGGCGCGAUCCAAGCGUCCCGGGCUCGGAAAUCCCGGCAGGAGCGGGGAUUGAUGGAGCGAGAGCCCGGGGCUGUGCCGGUGCCCCGGUAAGCAGAUUACACACGCGGCUGGGUGAGUGCCCUCACAGCCGGGCUGUCAGCGGCCCCAGCGAGGCACCACACGCGCUGUCACUGCUCAUCUCACCGUCCCCUCUCGGGGACAGCCCGGGGAUGCAGCGCGGGGGGACACGGGGGCAGCGGGCAAAGCCUGACCUCGGAAAGGCACCGGCUGCCCCGAGCGUCGUUCCGCGGGUACCGCAUUGCCACGGGAGGUGUUCUCCCAGCCUGCUUCUGCAGGGAAAGGACGGGAACGUCCCGGCGAGGUGUUGUCUCUCUCGCCUGCCUGACAGAGGCGUUCCCAAGCCCUCUAAAGGUGACAGCCACGAUGCCACCCUCGGCACAGCCGCUGUGUCACUGUGGCUGAGCAUCCCAGGCACAAACGCUGUGCCAAAGGCACGAACUCCAGGCAGGACGAGCCCCCAGCGAAGCCGAGCGCUGCCAGGACCAGGCCAGCUCGUUCCCAGGGAUACAGGACCUGGGCUGUGCCCGCUCGGCCCCGCCUCUGGAUGA
rnacentral:lncRNA from 1 species